AACAGCAGCAUCCACGGUGCCAGGUGAUGCAUGCAAAGAUGAACCGAGGAAAGCACCAGAGAGAGGACUCCCAACGAGGGUGGUCAGGGAGGGCUUCCCGGAAGAGGCUACAUCUCGAUGCGUAGGCCUGUGCCAGGCAAAUGCAUGGGAAGGCACAGCCUGUCCAAAGCCCCCAGGGCAAGAGAGCACAUUCUUACAGAUUCUUGGAACUGCCACAAGUGGCCUGGAUUGGGGACACCUCCGUCUCAUCAAGGUGGCCCAGGCGUCAUCUCAGGAGCAUGACUGGAAUGUGGAGACAGGCUACAAAGGCCAGGCCUCAGCAGGUCCAGGGGUCCCCAAAGGUGUGGACGGAGUCGGCGAAGAAGGAAUGACACGGAGACAGCCUUCAGUUGAUCAGCAGCCUAGUCAGGACCUCUAGCCAGGAUCUCCAGCCAAGUUCUGGUCCCUUGAAACAUAUGCUGUGCAGAUGUUUCUUUCCUGCGGCGACUGUGUCAAGCAGCAAGGAUGGACCGGCUUCCGGCAGGACGCCUAGGAAUCAGAAGAGAGUGGCCCCUGGGAGCAGGACACAAGUUCGUUGUGAAAUAGUUUGAAAAUCAGCUAAGCAGAACUGAAAAGGACACCCCCG